GGGAGCGGACCAAUUGAGAAGCUUGCUUUUUGAUUGGUUAGCGGCGGACGGGUGAGUAACACGUGGGUAACCUGCCCUAUAGACUGGGAUAACUCGCGGAAACGUGAGCUAAUACCGGAUAACACAUCAAAGUGCAUGCUCUUGAUGUUGAAUAGAUGGUUCUGCUAUCACUAUAGGAUGGGCCCGCGGCGCAUUAGCUAGUUGGUGGGGUAACGGCCUACCAAGGCGACGAUGCGUAGCCGACCUGAGAGGGUGAUCGGCCACACUGGGACUGAGACACGGCCCAGACUCCUACGGGAGGCAGCAGUAGGGUAAUCUUCCACAAUGGGCGAAAGCCUGAUGGANGCAAGCGCCGCGUGAGGCGAAGAAGGUCUUCGGAUCGUAAAGCUCUGUUGUAAGGGAAGAACAAGCGCAGCAGUAACUGGUUGCGCCCUGACGGUA
rnacentral:rRNA from 2 species